rnacentral:rRNA from 1 species
CCAGGAAUCUUGGGCAAUGGGCGAAAGCCUGACCCAGCAACACCGUGUGGGCGAUGAAGGCCUUCGGGUCGUAAAGCCCUGUUGAUAGGGACGAAGGGCGAAGGGUUAAUAGCCCCUAGCCUGACGGUACCUUUCGAGGAAGCCCCGGCUAACUACGUGCCAGCAGCCGCGGUAAUACGUAGGGGGCGAGCGUUGUCCGGAAUUAUUGGGCGUAAAGAGCGUGUAGGCGGUUCGGUAAGUCUGCCGUGAAAACCUGAGGCUCAACCUCGGGCGUGCGGUGGAUACUGCCGGGCUAGAGGACGGUAGAGGCGAGUGGAAUUCCCGGUGUAGCGGUGAAAUGCGCAGAUAUCGGGAGGAACACCAGUAGCGAAGGCGGCUCGCUGGGCCGCUCCUGACGCUGAGACGCGAAAGCUAGGGGAGCGAACAGGAUUAGAUACCCUGGUAGUCCUAGCCGUAAACGAUGGACACUAGGUGUGGGGGGAGUCGAAUCCCUCUGUGCCGCAGUUAACGCGUUAAGUGUCCCGCCUGGGGAGUACGGCCGCAAGGCUAAAACUCAAAGGAAUUG